CCACGCAAGAUCUGGGGCAUUCGAAGUUUAUCGGGCAGCCAUGAGAAUUCUUAGGAAUCCUAUUCGCAAAAUAAUUCGCAAUAAACAAUUAUGUUUCCUUUGCUGAAAGAGAAAGAAAUUUUUUGCAGUAAUUUGAUGAAAUUUUCAUUCUAUUAUAUACAUUUACAUGUUAAAAUGAAAUUAACCCUUCUUUUCAUUGACUCUUCAGCUAAAAAAGAUUUAUCGAACAUACAUGCACUGAACCGGGAAAACAUUCCCAGACAUAAUGGCUCUUUUUCCUUAUCUCCAGGAGAUGAUAACGCACAUUUCAGUUUCUAAAGAUCCCUGCCGGCGAGUGCUCCAGAGAGAAGGUGAAUGAUCCAAAUUGAGCCAUGUACUCACUUCAUUUUGGUUGUUUCCUCCAAAUUGUCCAUUUAAUCAUAUUUCUUGAAAAUUUCAUUGCCCAUUAGGUCUCAUAAUAGAGACUGAAUAUAUCUCUGACACCAUUUAAUUUUUCCUUUAACCAGAUAUUGUAGUUCAAGAAUUGCCCCCUCUAUAGAUAAAUCUAUCACAUCAUAAAUCUAUCGCAUAUUCUCCCUGCCGGUGAGUGCUCCAGAGAGAAGUUGGUCCAUUCAAACUGAGCCAUAUCCUCCAUUGCUUUCGUGGCCUCCAAAUUGUUCAUUUUCUCAUCUUUCCUAGAAAAUUCCCUCAAUGGGAAUCAUGUUUCACAUUGAAGUUAGAAUAUAUUUCUUUUAACCAGAUAUUGUAGUUCAAGACUUUCCCCUUUCUGUAGAUAAAUCUAUCACAUCGGUAUAAUAUAUUCUCUGCGAAAAUUCAACUCCUCAAGGACUGAACCAAUAAUUUUCGGAUUGAAUGACUGAAGCAUUCACACGAAAAAAGCAGAGAUUCUGUUUAUAUAGUUUUUUAAAUUUAUAUCCUCAGUAGAUUUCAAAUGUAUACUAAAAUUCCCAAAUACCUUUUUGAUUCAACUUUAUUUGAAAAAUAUGAUGAUAUUAAAUUGUGCAUAAUAAAAAAAUUACUUAAAUUGUA